rnacentral:rRNA from 1 species
UACAGAGGUCUCAAGCGUUGUUCGGAUUCAUUGGGCGUAAAGGGUGCGUAGGUGGCGCUGUAAGUCGGGUGUGAAAUUUCGGAGCUUAACUCCGAAACUGCAUUCGAUACUGCGGUGCUUGAGGACUGGAGAGGAGACUGGAAUUCAUGGUGUAGCAGUGAAAUGCGCAGAUAUCAGGAGGAACACCGGUGGCGAAGGCGGCCAACUGGACGAAUACUGACGCUGAGACACGAAAGCGUGGGGAGCAAACAGG